rnacentral:rRNA from 1 species
CCUACGGGAGGCAGCAGUGAGGAAUAUUGGUCAAUGGACGAGAGUCUGAACCAGCCAAGUAGCGUGAAGGAUGACUGCCCUAUGGGUUGUAAACUUCUUUUAUAUGGGAAUAAAAUGUUCCACGUGUGGGAUUUUGUAUGUACCAUAUGAAUAAGGAUCGGCUAACUCCGUGCCAGCAGCCGCUGUAAUACGGAGGAUCCGAGCGUUAUCCGGAUUUAUUGGGUUUAAAGGGAGCGUAGGUGGAUUGUUAAGUCAGUUGUGAAAGUUUGCGGCUCAACCGUAAAAUUGCAGUUGAAACUGGCAGUCUUGAGUACAGUAGAGGUGGGCGGAAUUCGUGGUGUAGCGGUGAAAUGCGUAGAUAUCACGAAGAACUCCGAGUGCGAAGGCAGUUCACUGGACUGCAACUGACACUGAGGCUCGAAAGUGUGGGUAUCAAACAGGAUUAGAUACCCUUGUAGUC